GUGGAUUAGAUACCCUGGUAGUCCUGGCCGUAAACGAUGAACACUAGGUGUCGGGGGAAUCGACCCCCUCGGUGUCGUAGCCAACGCGUUAAGUGUUCCGCCUGGGGAGUACGCACGCAAGUGUGAAACUCAAAGGAAUUGACGGGGGCCCGCACAAGCGGUGGAGUAUGUGGUUUAAUUCGAUGCAACGCGAAGAACCUUACCAGGGUUUGACAUCCUGCGAAUCCCUUGGAAACGAGGGAGUGCCUUCGGGAACGCAGUGACAGGUGGUGCACGGCCGUCGCCAGCU
rnacentral:rRNA from 1 species